UGGAAAAUAUUUUAUUUAGAGUAAUCCCCCCUUGUGUUUGACCUUGAACUCCUUGUUAUGGAUUGAGAAUUGUUGGUUGAUGGAUGUGCAAGGCUCACCACAGAAAAGGAUUUCGACUUUUACUAGACUUAGCAGAAAAUAUUUCAUCACAGUAGCCUUCCCGGUUAUUUCUUUCACCAUUAUUUUUCUGGAUUACAACAGAACAAGGAAAUUUAAGCUACAGAAACAAAGAGAAGAAGGAUUAAGAGCAACUGACAAUAAAAUCUAAAGCAAAAUGUUGAUGUUUCAACCCAGAUUUUUCAAAUACUAUGCAGGUCUUCUCCCUGUAUUUGCGGCAGUGUUUGCCGGUAAUUAUUAUGAUAAGAGAGCGGAAGAACUCAUUCUGUCCGAACCCAGAAGAGGAAAGUUAUUUGGACCCAAAAAAGAGGAGACUGAGGUUAUGGAAUAGGGGUGUAUUUAAUAAACAGAAAGACUUCUAAUAAUUAGAUGUGACAUAGUGCGAAGUACAAACUUUAUUCAAUAUGUGAGAAAUAUCAGAUUAAAUAUAUGUUGAUAUCUACA